ACCUCCCAGCCCUGGCAAAGAUGAGAGGGAAGAGAAAAAAUUUCAAGAGCUGGAGCAAUCAUCAAACUUAGAGGAAAUAUGGGUGCAAAUUAAAUCUGAGAGUAGCCUCAACAGAUUAUUUAAAUCAGCCAAGUUGCAAAGCUGCAUAUACGGCCUUGAGCUUUUUGAGGUUCAAGUUAACGUGCCAUUAUUAGUGGCAACCAUGUCAAAAAUGGAACACCUGCAGAGUCUUGCCUUGAUUGCUUCAUCUACUGAGAUAGAUCCUCCUGUUUGUGACACGUGCCGUCUAUCGAAGCUUCGAACUGUGGCAAUUAGAGGGGUCAGUACAAUACACCAUUUGACAUGGUUGAAGUAUGCUCCACUCCUUCAACAACUUCUUGUUGAACAGUGCUGGUCAAUAGAAGAAGUGAUAAAAGGAGAAAUAUUAGAAGAUGAGAAGGAUACUAUAUUCCGUUCUCUUGUAGAACUGACAUUGUACCACUUGCCAAAUCUUAGGAGAAUUCAUGAGAGAGUCCUGUCUUUGCCUUCCCUAAGAUCCAUUGUGGUGUACGCCUGUGGGCAGCUGAAGAAGUUACCUUUUGAUUCCAAUUCUGCCAAUGCUAAGUUGAGACGUAUCGAGGGACAUCAAAUCUGGUGGGACAACUUGGAGUGGGAUGACCCCGCUAUUAAAUCCACUUUCCAGUCUAAAUUUCAACCUGUUUUUGAUUGAAGACUACUUUUUCGGUAAAGAUUUAUUUGGUCAUGGUCUUUACUUCUUUUGCAUUUGGGACUUCGUAAUUUGAAUUAGCCUGGUGAUGAUGGAUUGUGAAUAUUAUAGAGCCCCAUCCUUGAUUUUAUUGGAUACUAUUGGAGUUGACUGGUUCUGGUUUUCCUAGUUUAGUUUGCUUAAGGCUCAAUAUGAGAACAUUUCAAUUUGUAUGAACUGUAUCCUAUGGAUCAAUAUUGUUGUUUUCUUGGAUUUGCAUGGAUUAACUGUGAUGUAUGAAUACUGUUAUUAUUUUCUCUGAUCUUAAAUGUGGAAGCUUGUUAAGAGAAUUUUUUU